rnacentral:rRNA from 1 species
AGGCACGCUGACACGUAGGUGAAGUGAUUUACUCAUGGAGCUGAAGUCAGUCGAAGAUACCAGCUGGCUGCAACUGUUUAUUAAAAACACAGCACUGUGCAAACACGAAAGUGGACGUAUACGGUGUGACGCCUGCCCGGUGCCGGAAGGUUAAUUGAUGGGGUCAGCGCAAGCGAAGCUCCUGAUCGAAGCCCCGGUAAACGGCGGCCGUAACUAUAACGGUCCUAAGGUAGCGAAAUUCCUUGUCGGGUAAGUUCCGACCUGCACGAAUGGCGUAAUGAUGGCCAGGCUGUCUCCACCCGAGACUCAGUGAAAUUGAACUCGCUGUGAAGAUGCAGUGUACCCGCGGCAAGACGGAAAGACCCCGUGAACCUUUACUAUAGCUUGACACUGAACAUUGAGCCUUGAUGUGUAGGAUAGGUGGGAGGCUUUGAAGUGUGGACGCCAGUCUGCAUGGAGCCGACCUUGAAAUACCACCCUUUAAUGUUUGAUGUUCUAACGUGGACCCGUGAUCCGGGUUGCGGACAGUGUCUGGUGGGUAGUUUGACUGGGGCGGUCUCCUCCUAAAGAGUAACGGAGGAGCACGAAGGUUGGCUAAUCCUGGUCGGACAUCAGGAGGUUAGUGCAAUGGCAUAAGCCAGCUUGACUGCGAGCGUGACGGCGCGAGCAGGUGCGAAAGCAGGUCAUAGUGAUCCGGUGGUUCUGAAUGGAAGGGCCAUCGCUCAACGGAUAAAAGGUACUCCGGGGAUAACAGGCUGAUACCGCCCAAGAGUUCAUAUCGACGGCGGUGUUUGGCACCUCGAUGUCGGCUCAUCACAUCCUGGGGCUGAAGUAGGUCCCAAGGGUAUGGCUGUUCGCCAUUUAAAGUGGUACGCGAGCUGGGUUUAGAACGUCGUGAGACAGUUCGGUCCCUAUCUGCCGUGGGCGCUGGAGAACUGAGGGGGGCUGCUCCUAGUACGAGAGGACCGGAGUGGACGCAUCACUGGUGUUCGGGUUGUCAUGCCAAUGGCACUGCCCGGUAGCUAAAUGCGGAAGAGAUAAGUGCUGAAAGCAUCUAAGCACGAAACUUGCCCCGAGAUGAGUUCUCCCUGAGACUUUAGGUCUCCUGAAGGAACGUUGAAGACGACGACGUUGAUAGGCCGGGUGUGUAAGCGCAGCGAUGCGUUGAGCUAACCGGUACUAAUGAACCGUGAGGCUUAACCUUACA